ACCUGGGUAGCUCAGUCGGUUGGGCAUCUGACUUUGGCUCAGAGCGUGAUCCCACGGUUCGUGGGUUCAAGCCCCGUGUCAGGCU
rnacentral:tRNA from 1 species